GCCAACGACCAUACCACGUUGAAUACACCAGUUCUCGUCCGAUCACUGAAGUUAAGCAACGUCGGGCGUAGUUAGUUAGUACUUGGAUGGGUGACCGCUUGGGAACACUACGUGCCGUUGACU